GACGAACGCUGGCGGCGUGCCUAAUACAUGCAAGUCGAACGCAGUUGGGACGGGUGAGUAACACGUGGGUAACCUCCCAUCAGAGGGGAUAACACUUGGAAACAGGUGCUAAACCGAUACUGAUGGAUGGCCCCGCUGUGCUUUAGCUAGUUGGUUGGGUAACGGCUCACCAAGGACACGAGGCAUAGCCGACCUGAGAGUGUGAUCAGCCAUCCUGGGACUGAGACACGGCCGCGAAUCCUACGGGAGGCAGCAGUAGGGAAUCUUCCGCAAUGGACGAAAAAAUGACGUAGCAACGCCGCGUGAGGGAAGAAGGUUUUCGGAUCGUAAGACUCUGUUGUUAGGGAAGCGGUAUCUAACCAGAAAGCCACGGCUAACUACGUGCCAGCAACCGCGGUAAUUC
rnacentral:rRNA from 1 species